rfam:Virgibacillus sp. SK37, complete genome.
AGGUGAUGUGUCCUUACCUUUAUCAAUGGAUAUACUCGGCUGUGCUGUGGGUUGAAUGACCUUAGACGCGUUUUGUUGUCAGGAGUGUGGCGUGAGGUGGGGUUAGAUGCCCU